AGCGAACGCUGGCGGCAGGCCUAACACAUGCAAGUCGAACGGACCUUUCGGGGUUAGUGGCGGACGGGUGAGUAACACGUGGGAACGUGCCUUUAGGUUCGGAAUAGCUCCUGGAAACGGGUGGUAAUGCCGAAUGUGCCCUUCGGGGGAAAGAUUUAUCGCCUUUAGAGCGGCCCGCGUCUGAUUAGCUAGUUGGUGAGGUAAAGGCUCACCAAGGCGACGAUCAGUAGCUGGUCUGAGAGGAUGACCAGCCACAUUGGGACUGAGACACGGCCCAAACUCCUACGGGAGGCAGCAGUGGGGAAUUUUGCGCAAUGGGCGAAAGCCUGACGCAGCCAUGCCGCGUGGAUGAUGAAGGUCUUAGGAUUGUAAAAUCCUUUCACCGGUGAAGAUAAUGACUGUAGCCGGAGAAGAAGCCCCGGCUAACUUCGUGCCAGCCGCCGCCGUAACAC
rnacentral:rRNA from 1 species